AUUUUAUGGUGUGGGCAUUGGAUCGAGAAGUUCUUAAAGUGGUCGAAGUAUUUUCAGAAUGAUUCACCAGCUAGCUGGUAAAAUUGAUUUAUCUCAUUCCUAAUCCU